AAACUGGCUGACUCGAGGCCGGGAGAGGCAAGUGGAACGUGCGGUGUAGGGGUGAAAUCCGUUGAUAUCGCACGGAACACCAAAAGCGAAGGCAACUUGCUAGAACGGCCCUGACGCUGAGGAACGAAAGCGUGGGGAGCAAAAAGGAUUAGAUACCCUUGUAGUCCACGCCCUAAACGAUGGAUGCUGGACAUUGGGAGGUCGACCCUUCCAGUGUCUUAGCUAACGCGUUAAGCAUCCCACCUGGGAAGUACGGCCGCAAGGCUAAAACUCAAAGGAAUAGACGGGAGCCCGCACAAGCGGUGGACCAUGUGGUUCAAUUCGACGAUAAGCGAAGAACCUUACCAGGGCUUGACAUCCCGACUCAUUUUCUGGAAACAGAAAAAUCUUCAAUGGAGGUCGGGACAGGUGCUGCAUGGUUGUCGUCAGCUCGUGCCGUGAGGUGUACCCUUAAGUGGGGAAACGAGCGCAACCCUUGCCUUUAGUUGGAUUUUGACUAAAGGGACUGCCGGUGAUAAACCGGAGGAAGGCGAGGAUGACGUCAAAUCAGCAUGGCCCUUAUGCCCUGGGCGACACACGUGGUACAAUGGCCGGGACAAAGGGAUGCUAAGCCGUAAGGCGGAGCAAAUCUCUCAAAACCGGCCUCAGUUCGGAUUGAGGGCUGCAACUCGCCCUCAUGAAGCUGGAAUCGCUAGUAA
rnacentral:rRNA from 1 species